GACGAACGCUGGCGGCGUGCUUAACACAUGCAAGUCGAACGAUGAAGCCUAGCUUGCUAGGUGGAUUAGUGGCGAACGGGUGAGUAAUACGUGAGUGACCUACCUUUGACUCUGGGAUAAGCCUGGGAAACUGGGUCUAAUACCGGAUACGACCAAUCUCCGCAUGGGGUGUUGGUGGAAAGCGUUAUGGAGUGGUUUUAGAUGGGCUCACGGCCUAUCAGCUUGUUGGUGAGGUAAUGGCUUACCAAGGCGACGACGGGUAGCCGGCCUGAGAGGGUGACCGGCCACACUGGGACUGAGAAACGGCCCAGACUCCUACGGGAGGCAGCAGUGGGGAAUAUUGCACAAUGGGCGCAAGCCUGAUGCAGCGACGCCGCGUGAGGGAUGACGGCCUUCGGGUUGUAAACCUCUGUUAGCAUCGAAGAAGCGAAAGUGACGGUAGGUGCAGAGAAAGCGCCGGCUAACUACGUG
rnacentral:rRNA from 1 species